GCGGGUGUGGCGGAACUGGUAGACGCGCUAGACUUAGGAUCUAGUGCCGCAACGCGUGGGGGUUCGAGUCCCUCCACCCGCA
rnacentral:tRNA from 1 species